rnacentral:rRNA from 1 species
UAAUACAGAGGGUGCGAGCGUUAAUCGGAUUUACUGGGCGUAAAGCGUGCGUAGGCGGCUUUUUAAGUCGGAUGUGAAAUCCCUGAGCUUAACUUAGGAAUUGCAUUCGAUACUGGGAAGCUAGAGUAUGGGAGAGGAUGGUAGAAUUCCAGGUGUAGCGGUGAAAUGCGUAGAGAUCUGGAGGAAUACCGAUGGCGAAGGCAGCCAUCUGGCCUAAUACUGACGCUGAGGUACGAAAGAAUGGGGAGCAAACAGGAUUAGAUACCCUGGUAGUCCAUGCCGUAAACGAUGUCUACUAGCCGUUGGGGCCUUUGAGGCUUUAGUGGCGCAGCUAACGCGAUAAGUAGACCGCCUGGGGAGUACGGUCGCAAGACUAAA